rnacentral:rRNA from 1 species
GACGAACGCUGGCGGCGUGCUUAACACAUGCAAGUCGAACGGUGAAGCGCCUUCCUUUUUGGUGGGUGUGGAUGAGUGGCGAACGGGUGAGUAACACGUGAGUAACCUGCCCCCUUCUUCUGGAUAACCGCAUGAAAGUGUGGCUAAUACGGGAUAUUCUGGGUCUGUCGCAUGAUGGGUCUGGGAAAGAUAUUGUUUCGGUGGGGGAUGGGCUCGCGGCCUAUCAGCUUGUUGGUGGGGUGAUGGCCUACCAAGGCGGUGACGGGUAGCCGGCCUGAGAAGGUGGACGGUCACACUGGGACUGAGACACGGCCCAGACUCCUACGAGAGGCAGCAGUGGGGAAUAUUGCACAAUGGGCGCAAGCCUGAUGCAGCGACGCCGCGUGAGGGAUGGAGGCCUUCGGGUUGUGAACCUCUUUCGCCAGUGAAGCAGGCCUGCCUCGUUUGUGGGUGGGUUGACGGUAGCUGGAUAAGAAGCGCCGGCUAACUACGUG